GAAAUGCGAUAAGUAAUGUGAAUUGCAGAAUUCAGUGAAUCAUCGAAUCUUUGAACGCACCUUGCGCUCCUUGGUAUUCCUUGGAGCAUGCCUGUUUGAGUAUCAUGAAAUCUUCAAAGUAAAUCUUUUGUUAACUCAAUUGGUUUCUACUUUGGUAUUGGAGGUCUUUGCAGCUUCACACCUGCUCCUCUUUGUUCAUUUGCUGGAUCUCAGUGUUAUGCUUGGUUCCACUCGGCGUGAUAAGUUAUCUAUCGCUGAGGACACUGUAAAAGGUGGCCAAGGUAAAUGCAGAUGAACCGCUUCUAAUAGUCCAUUGACUUGGACAAUACUUUUAUGAUCUGAUCUCAAAUCAGGUAGGACUACCCGCUGAACUUAAGC
rnacentral:misc_RNA from 1 species